UUGCCUACGGGGGGCAGCAGUGGGGAAUAUUGCACAAUGGGGGGAACCCUGAUGCAGCAACGCCGCGUGAGUGAAGAAGUCUUUCGGGACGUAAAGCUCUGUCAGCAGGGAAGAUAAUGACGGUACCUGACGAAGAAGCCCCGGCUAACUACGUGCCAGCAGCCGCGGUAAUACGUAGGGGGCAAGCGUUAUCCGGAUUUACUGGGUGUAAAGGGAGCGUAGGCGGCUUAUUAAGUCUGAAGUGAAAGCCUACGGCCCAAC
rnacentral:rRNA from 1 species